GCGAAGAGUUGACUCAUUGGAAAAGACUCUGAUGCUGGGAGGGAUUGGGGGCAGGAGAACAAGGGGACGACAGAGGAUGAGAUGGCUGGAUGGCAUCACAGACUGGAUGAACGUGAGUCUGAGUGAACUCCGGGAGUUGGUGAUGGACGGGGAGGCCUGGUGUGCUGCGAUUCAUGGGGUCGCAGAGUCGGACACGAUGAGUGACUGAACUGAACUGCAGCCCAAAACACACAGUAUGGGAUCAAGAGCCUUUGAGCCUCUUUGGAUUUCUGAAGUCAAUUCAGGGUGAACUGAACAUCCCUUUUAGAGGAUGCAAGUAAAAGAACCGAGCAGAACCCUCCCACUGGAAGAUGAGAACGACAAGAAAUCGACACUUUAGCUUUGGGGACUGCUACAUUCAAGAGGACCAGGAUCUAGUCUCUGCUGGAGACGUGUGAAAAAUACAAGGGACCUUGGAAAAGCCACGUGAAGGAGAGAGGAGCCGAAGUGCACUCAGAACUGAGUGAAGAGAGGCCGCGGUGUGAAGUUCUACUUAUGUGAAGAAAAAUUAUUGUAAACUACCAAAAAAGAUCUUCUAGAAAAUCUCUAAGUAGAAGGGCUGCUUUCCCAAGUUUGGUUGGUUUUAGAGGAUUAAAAAAAAA
ensembl:lncRNA